CGUGUAGGUGGUUUGGUAAGUAGGGCGUGAAAGCUCCUGGCUCAACUAGGAGAGGUCGUUCUAAACUGCCAGACUUGAGGAUGGUAGAGGGAGGUGGAAUUCCGGGUGUAGUAGUGAAAUGCGCAGAUAUUCGGAGGAACACCAGUGGCGAAAGCGGCCUCCUGGACCACACCUGACACUCAGACGCGAAAGCUAGGGUAGCAAACAGGAUUAGAUACCCUGGUAGUCC
rnacentral:rRNA from 1 species